GACGAACGCUGGCGGCGUGCCUAAUACAUGCAAGUAGAACGCUGAAGGAGGAGCUUGCUUCUCUGGAUGAGUUGCGAACGGGUGAGUAACGCGUAGGUAACCUGCCUGGUAGCGGGGGAUAACUAUUGGAAACGAUAGCUAAUACCGCAUAAUAGUAGAUGUUGCAUGACAUUUGCUUAAAAGGUGCAAUUGCAUCACUACCAGAUGGACCUGCGUUGUAUUAGCUAGUUGGUGGGGUAACGGCUCACCAAGGCGACGAUACAUAGCCGACCUGAGAGGGUGAUCGGCCACACUGGGACUGAGACACGGCCCAGACUCCUACGGGAGGCAGCAGUAGGGAAUCUUCGGCAAUGGACGGAAGUCUGACCGAGCAACGCCGCGUGAGUGAAGAAGGUUGUCGGAUCGUAAAGCUCGGUUGUAAGAGAAGAACGAGUGUGAGAGUGGAAAGUUCACACUGUGACGGUAGCUUGACAGAAAGGGACGGCUAACUACGUG
rnacentral:rRNA from 1 species